GCUGAACGGAAGAGAAAGGGAGACCCAGAGGAGGCGCCGCUGGGCCAGAGCUGCUGCUGGGAGGGUCCUCGCCACUGCCGCCAUAGCCACGCAGCCGCUGUCUGGUCGUCUCGUCGUCGCGCUCGCCAGAAACGAGGCAGAGAGGGAGAGAGGGAGCUGCGCCACGUUACCGUCCAGUCGCUGUCCGGCUUGCCAUCACCGGUGUCUCACCGCCGUCACUAUGGAGACCAAACGCCGUUGAGCUUCUUGCUGCUGCCUUGGAGUCCGUUGUCAGGUUCGAGUUGAAGAAAGAGGGGGGCAUAGAUUCAACGUCGCGUAGAGAGGGAUUUGUUGUUGUCGUUGCGCGCCGUCGUGUGUUGUCGCUGUUGUUUGAGCUGUCGCCAUCGCCGUGGGUGAAGUCCGCCGCUGGCGCCAGUUGAGGUCGCUGCUAUGGAACAGAGAUGAGAGAGAGACGUUGGGAGAAAACUGUGAGCUGUAAGCCGCUGACCGAGAAGAAGCUCUGCCUUUGUUGCCGUGUUAGAGUCGUCGCUGCCAACGCCGCGCACCGCCGUUAGCGCUGCCGUUGAAGGGAGCUCGCCGUCACAGUUCGAUCAUCAUUGAGCUUGAAGGGAGGCGUCACGGAUAUACCCGACAGCAGCUUCCCCUGUGUUCCCAAUUCCAUUCUUGAAACUUAUUAUCAUCUUUAUCCGGAACCACUGAUGUCACCGCUACGGAGGUGAUUGGGAUAGGCGCGAUUGUCAUUGUUGUUGCUGCCCAAGAAGAAGUGAGGCUGCUGUUGCUGUUCCGGCCGCAUUGACUGUUGUAAACUGGAAAAAAGAAGGGCAUCAUUGCGUUUAAAUUCGACGGUUUCGACUAAUUGAGGAUAAUUUUUUUGGACUCGUAAAGACAAAAGGAGUUGACUAGUUGUUGUGGCACCCUGUAUAAGAUAGGAUGGGUCUUAUAAUGAGUUUGGUUAUCUAAAUGUAUUAUUUUGAUGUGUUCUUUACUUUUUGAUAAGAGACUUUAUCCGAUAUUAUAUGUAAUGGAUAAAUUACACUCUAUUUUGAUUAGUGUUGUAAUGAAUAUCUAAUUUUUAAUGAAACCUUUAUGAUUUGGAUUUA